rnacentral:piRNA from 1 species
UCAAAAACUCUACUUACGAAGAGCCUAUGA